rnacentral:sRNA from 1 species
CGGGGCAGUGACAGCUCCUAUGUGCGGGAGCUCAUCGGCAUGGACCCCGUGGCCGUGUUCCGCUGGGCCGUGCUCCGGGCCGCUAUCCGGGCCAUGGCAGUGCUUCGGGAGGCCGGACGCCUGCGGGCCGAGAGGGCCGAAAAGGCUGCAGGUAUUAGCAGCCCUGGUGCCCAAAGUCACCCGGAAGAGCUGCCAAGAGGAGCCAGCACCCCUUCGGAAAAACUUUACCGCGAUUUGCAUAACCAAAUGAUCAAGAGCAUCAAAGGAUUGCCCUGGCAGGGCGAGGACCCCCGUAGCCUUCUGCAGUCCCUCAGUCGGCUCCAGAAACCCCGCGCCUUCAUCCUGAAAAGUAAAGGUAUCAAACAAAAGCAGAUCAUUCCAAAGGUAAAAAAAAAAACACACCCCGCGCGACACAUUCCAAGAUAUCUUGCUUCUCUGCCCGUCUUGAGAGCUUUCACUUCUGCAGCUUCAUUUCCUCCUCCUUCCCACUAUCUCCCCCUCCCUCCAAGAAAAAAAA